rnacentral:rRNA from 1 species
AUGAGCAAGAUGUACUCCUUCAAAAACACACACAUGUCCGGGUCAUACAACUUGCUAACAACCGAUCCUAAAAAGAAGGCGCUCAAGGUGAUCAGAAGACUGACUACCACCGCAAGGUCAGUGCUGGCGGCCAGUCCUACUGCGGGGCUGCUUGCUCCGAGAUCCUGUUCCCUGAACUUCUUCCCCGACCAUCUUCAUGUUUCAACGCAAGGUGUAGCCAUAGGCUACAUGAGGAGUGCAUCAAGCAGGAACAAGGUUUCCAUCAGAACCUGUAAGAAAUCACGAAUCCUUUUCUAUUAA